CGGGGUGUGGCUCAGUUUGGCUAGAGCGCCGUGUUAGGGACGCGGAGGUCGCAAGUUCGAAUCUUGUCACUCCGA
rnacentral:tRNA from 2 species